rnacentral:rRNA from 1 species
AGAGUUUGAUCCUGGCUCAGAUUGAACGCUGGCGGCAUGCCUUACACAUGCAAGUCGAACGGUAACGCGGGGCAACCUGGCGACGAGUGGCGAACGGGUGAGUAACGCAUCGGAACGUGCCCAGUAGUGGGGGAUAGCCCGGCGAAAGCCGGAUUAAUACCGCAUACGACCUACGGGUGAAAGCGGGGGACCGUAAGGCCUCGCGCUAUUGGAGCGGCCGAUGUCAGAUUAGGUAGUUGGUGGGGUAAAAGCCUACCAAGCCGACGAUCUGUAGCUGGUCUGAGAGGACGACCAGCCACACUGGGACUGAGACACGGCCCAGACUCCUACGGGAGGCAGCAGUGGGGAAUUUUGGACAAUGGGCGCAAGCCUGAUCCAGCCAUGCCGCGUGCGGGAUGAAGGCCUUCGGGUUGUAAACCGCUUUUGUCAGGGAAGAAACGCUCCGGGCCAAUACCCUGNGGUAAUGACGGUACCUGAAGAAUAAGCACCGGCUAACUACGUGCCAGCAGCCGCGGUAAUACGUAGGGUGCAAGCGUUAAUCGGAAUUACUGGGCGUAAAGCGUGCGC